AGAUUCCUAGACUUGGAGCUCUGCCAACAUCCACGUGUGACCAUUCUCUAGAGUUCUAUGAUUCUUCUAAUAUGGCAAGACUUCUACUUUCAUGUAUUCUCAAACUCUCCCAAUGCUGAAGUGUUCCUGCCUGUUCCAGACUUUUUUUUUCCUCUCACAUACUCAAUUUCACUUGAAAUUCAUCCCACUUUAGUAUAUAGACAGAUAUGUUGUGCAUUGACUCACUAGCAUAGUUUUUCUACCACCAGGCAGCUGCAUAUGUUGGCGUGAUUGAUGAGAGCCGCCACAGUCAAGCAAGCAGCCCUGGGCGGCCAGUUUACCCUUCCCUGCUAGGGUUUCAGCUGCCAGUUGCCCCCAUUCUGUGACAGCUUCUCCUUCUCCUCACCUUGUCAUCAAGCCAAGAUUGUACACUGUGGGAGUACAGGUAGAGUGAUGGCUCCAUCAAUCAAAUACACCCACCAUGAAUUUUCACUUGUGAAUUAAUAAUAAAGAGAAAGAUGAUUGUAAUC
rnacentral:lncRNA from 1 species